AUUGCAUGAUGCUAUUUAGGAGAAGCAGGAAAAUUGGUUUUCGUCUGCCACGCUUGAGUAUCUCUUUUACUAACUUGCAUUUAAUGCAGAAAUAGAUAAGAGUCUCUUCUGUGUCUCUCUCAACAUACCACAAAUCUGGGAGAUUUUUGAAAACCCAGGAAAGUAAAAAUGGCAGAAGAGAAUACAGAGAGAUUGUUGAAGAAGAAGGUCUACUAUGAGAAUUGCCCAGGUUGUAAGGUAGAGCUGUACAAAGAGUCACAACGUGGUUUACCAUUUCGAGACCUCUUUUUCAUAUGGAUUAUUGUGUUGUCUAAUGCGCUGCCAAUAUCAUCUUUGUUUCCAUUCCUUUAUUUCAUGAUUAGAGACUUUAAUAUCGCAAAAAGACAGGAAGAUAUUAGCUUCUAUGGUGGUUUUGUAGGCUCUUCAUUUAUGCUUGGCAGAGCUUUGACUGCUGUUUACUGGGGAAUAAUUGCCGAUCGCUAUGGUCGAAAACCUGUCAUAAUAAUAGGGACUAUCUCAGUGGUAAUUUUCAACACUCUUUUUGGCCUUAGUGUAAACUUUUGGAUGGCCAUUGUGACAAGGUUUCUUCUUGGAAGCUUGAAUGGUUUACUUGGACCAAUAAAGGCAUAUGCAAGCGAAGUCUUCCGGGAUGAAUACCAAGCUCUAGGCGUGUCAACUGUUAGUACAGCAUGGGGCAUAGGAUUAAUAGUUGGCCCAGCUAUUGGGGGCUACUUGGCUCAGCCUGCAGAGAAGCAUCCAAAUAUCUUUUCAAAAAAUUCAUUGUUUGGAAGAUUCCCAUACUUCUUGCCUUGCUUAUGUAUAUCACUUAUUGCAAUGGGAGUAACCAUUGUCACCAUAUGGCUUCCGGAAACAUUACACAAGCACAAUGAAAAUAGUGGAUCAACUGCUGAUUCCGAGGAAGUGUUACAAACAGCAUCUUAUGUUUCUGAUACAAACAAAACAAACCAAAAACCAGAAGCGGAGAAAACUUCUAAGAAAAGCCUUCUUAGGAAUUGGCCCUUAAUGUCUUCAAUCCUUGUUUAUUGUGUUUUCUCACUUCAUGACAUGGCAUAUACUGAGAUUUUCUCAUUAUGGGCCACAAGUCCUCGAAAUCUUGGGGGCUUGAGCUAUACAAGUGAGAAUGUUGGUCAAGUUCUUGCAAUCUCUGGUUUUAGUCUUCUUAUCUUCCAAAGUUUUCUAUAUCCAACCAUGGAAAGGAUGUUUGGUGUCAUAAUGACCUCUCGCAUUGCAGGGGUUUUAUCUAUACCUUUGUUGACAAGUUACCCCUAUAUAGCGUUGUUGUCCGGAUUCUCUCUUUCUCUGUUGAUAAAUUUGGCAUCUCUAACAAAGAAUGUCUUAGCCACCUCCAUUAUGACCGGCUUGUUCCUCCUGCAAAACAGAGCUGUGGAUCAACAUCAAAGGGGUGCUGCUAAUGGUCUAGCAAUGACUCUGAUGUCGCUGUUCAAAGCAGUUGGCCCAGCUGCGGGCGGUGCAAUUUUAUCAUGGGCACAAAGGCGUCAAGAUGCUUCUAUCCUCCCAGAUGGAAAUACACAGAGUGAAUAACUGGUUAAUCAUUUCAAGCGAUUAAUGAAACACAAACUGCUGUAAAGCAGUCAAAACAGAAUUCUUCCUCUCCUAACCAAUUUUCCUACUCCCAAUACCAUUGUGUUGAGGCUGUAGCGAGCUCAACUCUCGUUUAAACACUGAUCUUCCUCGUACAUUUUCGAGGUGAUUUUUAUGAGCUGUGAUAGCUAGUAACACAUGGCGUCUAAGAUUGAAUACUUAUGAUUCAAGUGACAGUACUCAGCGGAUGGAUCCUUUGGUGUUUGUUUAAAAUGUUCUUCCAAGGCGACCAGAUAGUUUUCUUCAUCCUGAAUGUUAUCGAGGCUGUUGGAGUGCUAAUGACAUUUAAACCAUUUCUAACAACAGCAUAACGUGAAUCAAGAUCUCUAUGUAUGUGGCUGGAAAAGCUCAAAGAAAAUCCUUCCAUAUAUGUAGCCACUAUUGAAUCCUCACCAUUGGCUGGAUUGUACUCUUCCGCAAGGUUGAUAUGUUAUCAAGGAGGGAAAAAGAAAAUCUCCCAUUCAAUUAUUCAAAUGUAAACAACUUUAUUGAUUAUUUGUUUGUUAAGUCAUUUUAUUACGUGUCAUAUUGUAUUAUGGAAGCAUGCAAUGCUAUAUAUCUUAGCAGGUAGGGAUGCAAAUUCUGGCAA